AGCGAACGCUGGCGGCAGGCCUAACACAUGCAAGUCGAGCGCCCGUAGCGAUACGGGAGCGGCAGACGGGAGAGUAACACGUGGGAACGUACCCUUUGGUUCGGAACAACACAGGGAAACUUGUGCUAAUACCGGAUAAGCCCUUACGGGGAAAGAUUUAUCGCCAAAGGAUCGGCCCGCGUCUGAUUAGCUAGUUGGUGGGGUAACGCUCACCAAGGCGACGAUCAGUAGCUGGUCUGAGAGGAUGACCAGCCUCAUUGGGACUGAGACACGGCCCAAACUCCUACGGGAGGCAGCAGUGGGGAAUAUUGGACAAUGGGCGCAAGCCUGAUCCAGCCAUGCCGCGUGGAUGAUGAAGGCCUUAGGGUUGUAAAGUCC
rnacentral:rRNA from 1 species